AGGAUAUUGAGGCAAAGCUUGGAGCUGACGUCACUCUUCAGUGUCAGAUUUCCACAGAUGAAAUAAUCUCAGUGCUGAAGUGGAGCAGAGCUGACCUGAACACAGACGGCUACGUCUACUUCUACAGGAACAAACGAUUCUAUGAAAACUACCAACAUCCAUCUUUUCAUGGCCGAGUGAAGCUGAGGCACCCGGAGAUGAAGGAUGGAGACGUGUCUGUGAUCCUGAAGAAGGUCACAUUUAAUGACACUGGGAUGUAUGAGUGUCACGUAGCUGUGAGGAACCCUGUGAGCAGUAAAAGAGCUCACACUGAGAUCAGUCUCUUCAUCAACCUCACAGUCACAGGUGAAACGGAUAAAACCUUGUUGGAACAGCAGCUGAAGGGAAAAGGAGCUACAGACGGAAACAUGUAUGAUAGAAAAGCAGAAACUCUGAGUAUUCAGAUUGUUGUUGUUGUUGUUCUCAUCGCUGCUGUCAUUGGGUUUAUGGUAUUUCUGAGAUUUAAAAGAAGUAAGGAGCAGUUUCCAGCCAAGCCUAGUGAUAAGAGGGAGGAAAUGGCCUGAAAUGCUAGUUUCUUUACGAUGCAAUAAAGAGCACCUCAAGAUGAUUUCAUGUUAUUUCUGAAUGUACAUCAAGUAUUUACAUGCUGUGUAUGACCCUAUUGGAUUAUCUCAAAGUUCCCACCUGAACCCCUUUGAGAAUCUUUUAGAUGUGCUGACAGCUGUAAGUCAAGCUAAAUGUUUCACUUGCAUAUGCAAAGUGAAGCAACGAACUGUUAACAGCAGCUAACAGCUUGGUUGUUAAGGAGAUAAACAUGGUCCCUACAAGAAUUGGCACCCUGAUGUAGUGCAUUCUGGGUAGCAUUCAGAGGGUCAUAUGGAUAAGUUGCGAUAAGUUGCUGCUCAAAACAAAGGUCUUGUAUUAAUACCAGAAUCAACUGUUAAAUAUAGAAACAGCACUGGUGUUCACAUUCAGUUCCCUUUUAUUUAUAUAGUCACAUUUCACAGUAGGUUUGACUUCAAGGUGCUUUAUGCUGUCAGGUUAAUACCCUACAAUAGCAAAAGCUCCAACAAUCAAGCUGUGAACAAGCACUUGGGUAGACUCUUUAUAUUCAACCAUCAAACAAAAGAAGCUUCAGUGACACUGAAAUUACACGUAACUUAAACUCUGCUGAUAAUAACUUCUGUUCAGUGGUAAAUGGACUGAACAGAAAAGGGGGAGCUUUAAAAUCAUACUGUGAUUAUUUUCGGAGUUCCAGAGAGUUUCAGAGCUCAGAGUACACAUGACACUUGGUGCCUUUUAAUUCGCCUUAUCUCUGACGCAUUUUUUAGCCCGAUUAACUCGAUUAGUAAAACACAUAUGAAAACAUGAAAUUUUCAGGGCUUCAAAACACAAUUAAGCUUUGUCUCAUUCAAUCUAAAUGUCAGAAUCUGAAGGCAGUGAAGUGUUUAAUAAAGACAUCACAGAUGUUAUCCUCCACAUCUUCUCAGCUCUUGAUAUUUCUCCAGUUCUCGUGUUC